GGUGUAUAGCUUAGUGGUAGAGUGCUUGACUAACAUCUGUGAGGCCCUGGGUUCAAUCCCCAGCACCA
rnacentral:tRNA from 1 species